AGGGUGCGAGCGUUGUCCGGAAUUACUGGGCGUAAAGAGCUCGUAGGUGGUUUGUCGCGUUGUCCGUGAAAACUCACAACUCAAUUGUGGGCGUGCGGGCGAUACGGGCAGACUGGAGUACUGCAGGGGAGACUGGAAUUCCUGGUGUAGCGGUGGAAUGCGCAGAUAUCAGGAGGAACACCGGUGGCGAAGGCGGGUCUCUGGGCAGUAACUGACGCUGAGGAGCGAAAGCGUGGGGAGCGAACAGG
rnacentral:rRNA from 1 species